GGGCCCGCACAAGCGGUGGAGUAUGUGGUUUAAUUCGACGCAACGCGCAAAACCUUACCUGGAUUUGACAUCCCGGGCUCACCUCAGAGAUGAGGUUUUCUCUUCGGAGACCCGGUGACAGGUGCUGCAUGGCUGUCGUCAGCUCGUGUCGUGAGAUGUUGGGUUAAGUCCCGCAACGAGCGCAACCCUUGUCCCUAGUUGCCAGCAUUAAGUUGGGCACUCUAGGGAGACUGCCGGUGAUAAGCCGGAGGAAGGUGGGGAUGACGUCAAGUCCUCAUGGCCUUUAUGUCCAGGGCUACACACGUGUUACAAUGGGGGUGACAAAGAGUGGCCAAGCUGCGAAAGC
rnacentral:rRNA from 1 species